GCGAUCCUAUCAUCUCAACCUCUCAAGUCUUGGGACUACAGGGUGGAAAAGUGGAGAACUAGGAGAGGCAGGAGUAAAAGACAUUGCUGGAUGCAUUGAGAAAACAAAUGUCAGUGCUAGGCCUGGAAGCUUCUUAAAAAGGACGAUGAAAUCACGAAGCUGAAAUCAGAACGAUGUGCUUAGAUGACUUUGCAUUCCAUGAAGUCGGGGAGCAUAGAGGUUUUGUCUAUGGAGGUUGAUCAAGGGGGUCUGAGGGAACCACAUGAUGUGAGCUGAGACAUGGAC
rnacentral:lncRNA from 10 species